UCAAAGAAUUCGAGAUUGCCACAACUUGUAUUAUUUCUGCUUAUAUUCUUUUUAAUCUAGCAAGGAAGAGAACUCUCCAAGACCUCUAAUAAUUGAUAAGGCCCUUCAUUAUGCAUAAGGCAUAAACCACAGUGGUGGACAGAGUCAUCUUCAUGUUAUCAUAAAAUCAUAAUGUUGGAGUCAUGUUAGUUUUCCAUGGAAAAUUCUCAAGAUUUUGCCGCUAUUGACAGUUCCCCUCAAAUGAAAGCACACAGGUCACAUGUUCUAAUUCCAUUAUUCAUACAUUUGAUACUACAGAUGAUAUGUAGACCAUAAUUCAUUUCUAGAAAUUGUCAUAAAGUGACUGUCAUAAAGCAGGCUAUAGUCUCACCUGGGAACCAUGUUACAAUUAGGGGUUACAUUUCUGAUCCUCAAUGCAAUAUCAAAUAUGCAAUGGAUAUGCAAAACAUGUGCUAUAAAAUCAAAUAUACAAAACUAUUAACCUUCUCAAUUAAUUAAAAUAGUAAUGCAACAAAUUGGGCAUAAAUGUACUGUGGACAUUGUACAACAGGCUUCCAAUGGGCUAUAAAGUGCACAAAUAGCACAUAAAAAUUAUGAGUGGUCCAGUCAAAGAUGGACCUAUUAGAAGCUGAAAUCCACGUUAAGUCUUAAACUAACAAUACUUCUGCAUGUUAGGCUAUGGAAAGGCUAUGCAUAUUAGGCUAUGGAAAGAUGUUUCUGGUUGGGGGGUGGGGUGGGUUGGAUGUUUGCACUACAAAACCCCCAAGAUUGUUUGAAAGAACAAGUCUUGAUUUUUGUGAAUAGUGCUAUUAGCAGUGGGGCUUGGAGGAGAGAGAUGAGGACUGGGGUUCAGGCCCCUUUCAUCAAAAUCAGCUGCUUCCUAUGAGCUCAGCAAUGUACAAGGUACAGGCUUAGCCCCAGCUGAGGUCUUGGGACUCAACUUCCUUAACUCUUGAAUAAGAUGUUUGAGUAAUGACCUUGGGCGCUAAACCUCUGUGAUUCCACAGCCUAAAAGGGCCAAUAAGGAUGAUUUGGAUAUCUAGGUUUCUUAAAAAGCUGUCUAAGGAUGUUUAGAAUAAUAUCUUCUCUAUCUUCCUACAUAAAUUCACUUUCAGCGAAAUAGACUGAUGCAAAGUAAUUCUAUCCAUGCUGGGGUUGUCUGAAAAUAUUUUAAUAACCCUUCUGUGUGGGGACUCAGGAUGAAGUUGAGGAGUAGUACUGGUAUCUUGCAGAAAAUUUUACUUAAGAUGACCCAAGUGACCUCCUUUUGACCUUUCCUGUCUUGACUUAAAGCUACACAGGUAGCUGCUUGAGAUCAGACUCUGAAGUCUUGGAAAACAAUAAACCUGCUAUGGACAGAAUGUUGUGUUCUCCCUAAAUUCGUAAUGAAGCCCUCAUCUCCAGUGUCAUGGUGUUAGGAGUUGGGGCCCUGAGGAGGUGAUUAACUCUUGAGGGUAGAGCCUCAUGGGUGUGAUUAAUUCCUUUUAUGAGAAGAGACUUGAGAGAAAUGAUUGUUCUCUGCUUUCUGCCACGUGAGGACACAGCAAGAAGAUGGCCGACUGCGAACCAGGAAGUGGGUUCUCACCAGUCACUGCACCUGCCCGCACCUGGAUCCUGGACUUCCAAGCCUCCUGAACUGAGAAAUAAAUUAUGUUGUUUAA